rnacentral:rRNA from 1 species
UACGUAGGUGGCAAGCGUUGUCCGGAAUUAUUGGGCGUAAAGCGCGCGCAGGCGGCCUUUUAAGUCUGAUGUGAAAGCCCACGGCUCAACCGUGGAAGGUCAUUGGAAACUGAAAGGCUUGAGUACAGAAGAGGAAAGCGGAAUUCCACGUGUAGCGGUGGAAUGCGUAGAGAUGUGGAGGAACACCAGUGGCGAAGGCGGCUUUCUGGUCUGUAACUGACGCUGAGGCGCGAAAGCGUGGGGAGCAAACAGG